UACGUAGGGUGCGAGCGUUGUCCGGAAUUACUGGGCGUAAAGCGUGCGUAGACGGUUACAUAAGUCAGAUGUGAAAGCCCGGGCUCAACCUGGGAAUUGCAUUCGAGACUGAAUAGCUAGGGUGCGGUAGAGGGAAGCGGAAUUCCCGGUGUAGCGGUGAAAUGCGCAGAGAUCGGGAGGAACACCCGUAGCGAAGGCGGUUCUCUGGGCCGGUACUGACGCUGAGGAGCGAAAGCGUGGGGAGCAAACAGG
rnacentral:rRNA from 1 species